UUAACGCUUGCGGCGUGCCUAAUACAUGCAAGUCGAGCGACCAGACGAGGAGCUUGCUCCUCUGACGUUAGCGGCGGACGGGUGAGUAACACGUGGAUAACCUACCUAUAAGACUGGGAUAACUUCGGGAAACCGGAGCUAAUACCGGAUAAUAUAUUGAACCGCAUGGUUCAAUAGUGAAAGACGGUUUUGCUGUCACUUAUAGAUGGAUCCGCGCCGCAUUAGCUAGUUGGUAAGGUAACGGCUUACCAAGGCAACGAUGCGUAGCCGACCUGAGAGGGUGAUCGGCCACACUGGAACUGAGACACGGUCCAGACUCCUACGGGAGGCAGCAGUAGGGAAUCUUCCGCAAUGGGCGAAAGCCUGACGGAGCAACGCAGCGUGAGUGAUGAAGGUCUUCGGAUCGUAAAACUCUGUUAUUAGGGAAGAACAAAUGUGUAAGUAACUAUGCACGUCUUGACGGUACCUAAUCAGAAAGCCAAGGAUAAAUACGUG
rnacentral:rRNA from 1 species